ACACCAGUGUUUGUAUUGGUGGGUCGGUCCACAACAGCACUCCCAGCCAAUGGCUGCUCUCGCCUGGUUAUCGGGAUUUACAAUCUGUUUGAGGGAUGGCGUUACAAAUGGAAACAAAUGUGUGUCUUUUAUGGGUAAUAUGUGGGAAUCCAGCUGUCCAUGGCUUGGGGACUCUGCAGGUGUAGAUUGCCUGGGGACAGUCAAGGGGUGGUGAAUGCCUGGUGCGAGCAGCAGCAGCAGCUUCACGGAUUCCUUCACAUGUUUCUGCAGUGUGUGCUCAGCCUUGUGUGCACACUCAGAUCGCAUCGCUCUGUUCUGAAUCUUCCCCCCAGAUUGUCCAAACAAGCCCGAGCAGACUGGCAGGCGCCAGCGCGGUGACGUCACCCAUUCAUCCGAGCCUUGACGCCUGUCAGCCUGGCGCCGCUCGGGCGGUCUCCAUGGAGACGUCAAACAAGAGAGCUCGCACUCCGCAACUCCUCCAUUCACCUGCGUGGCGCGCGGAGCCCUGAGAACAAACCGGCUCCGGAGCUUUGUCGUUCAUUUAUCACCUUAAAGCAGCGGGGUGAGAUUACCGCCCCGCGCACCUGCACAGCCGGAGCUGUCAGAGGAGCUGUGACCGCACUUUAACUCCAAAUAACUGUUGCAUUCCUGCACACUCUCACUACUGGAUGCGCCUCUGCAAAGUUGAUAAAAACUUUUUUAAAUUCA